AACGCACAUUGCGCCCCUUGGUAUUCCAUGGGGCAUGCCUGUUCGAGCGUCAUUUGUACCCUCAAGCUCUGCUUGGUGUUGGGUGUUUGUCCACUCCCUGGUGUUUGGACUCGCCUUAAAGCAAUUGGCAGCCAGUGUUUUGGUAUUGAAGCGCAGCACAUUUUGCGAUUCUAGCCUGAAAUACUAGCAUCCAGCAAGUCAUUUUUCACUUUUGACCUCGGAUCAGGUAGGGAUACCCGCUGAACUUAA
rnacentral:misc_RNA from 1 species